rnacentral:rRNA from 1 species
ACGGCUCAGUAACACGUAGCUAACCUGCCCUCGAGUCCGCGAUACCCUCGGGAAACUGAGGUUAAGAGCGGAUAGGUGAUUUUCUCUGGAAGGAAAAAUCGCUGAACAUUGAACGCGAGGAUGGGGCUGCGGCUGAUUAGGUAGUUGGCGGGGUAACUGCCCACCAAGCCAAUGAUCAGUAAGGGCUCUUAGCGGAGAAGCCCUGAGAGGGAGUCUGAGACACUAUUCCCAGCCCUACGGGGUGCAGCAGUCGGGAAAAUUUUGCAAUACGCGCAAGCGUGACAAAGCAAGCCAGAGUGCACUUCUGUUAUAGAAGCGCUUUUGUGAGAUGUAAAAAGUCUUACGAAUAAGGACUGGGCAAGACCGGUGCCAGCCGCCGCGGUAAUCCCGGCGGUCCAAGUCGCAUCCACAAUUACUGGGUCUAAAACAUCCGUAGCUUGUUUUGUAAGUCUCUUGUGAAAUUUCAUAUCUCAAGUAUGAAGCGUGCAAGAGAUACUACAUUGCUAGAGACCGGAAGACGCAAAGAGUACGAAGGAGGUAGCGGUAAAAUGUGUUAAUCUUCUUCGGACUAACAAUGGCGAAGGCACUUUGCGAGUACGGAUCUGACAGUGAGGGAUGAAGGCUAGGGGCGCAAAAGGGAUUAGAUACCCCUGUAGUCCUAGCAGUAAACACUGCUCACUAAACAUCAGUAUCUCCUCGAGAGGUAUUGGUGCUGUAGGGAAGCCGAAGAGUGAGCUACCUGGGAAGUAUAGUCGCAAGACCGAAACUUAAAGGAAUUGGCGGGGGAGCAC